ACGUACCACGGUACACAGCGAUUACUGCACGCCGUCCGCGCCCGUCUGACGGUUGCGCGCUUAGUUCUGCGGCC
rnacentral:sRNA from 1 species